UGCAAGUCGAGCGGUAGCACAGAGAGCUUGCUCUCGGGUGACGAGCGGCGGACGGGUGAGUAAUGUCUGGGAAACUGCCUGAUGGAGGGGGAUAACUACUGGAAACGGUAGCUAAUACCGCAUAAUGUCGCAAGACCAAAGUGGGGGACCUUCGGGCCUCAUGCCAUCAGAUGUGCCCAGAUGGGAUUAGCUAGUAGGUGGGGUAAUGGCUCACCUAGGCGACGAUCCCUAGCUGGUCUGAGAGGAUGACCAGCCACACUGGAACUGAGACACGGUCCAGACUCCUACGGGAGGCAGCAGUGGGGAAUAUUGCACAAUGGGCGCAAGCCUGAUGCAGCCAUGCCGCGUGUAUGAAGAAGGCCUUCGGGUUGUAAAGUACUUUCAGCGAGGAGGAAGGCGUUAAGGUUAAUAACCUUAGCGAUUGACGUUACUCGCAGAAGAAGCACCGGCUAACUCCGUGCCAGCAGCCGCGGUAAUACGGAGGGUGCAAGCGUUAAUCGGAAUUACUGGGCGUAAAGCGCACGCAGGCGGUCUGUUAAGUCAGAUGUGAAAUCCCCGGGCUCAACCUGGGAACUGCAUUUGAAACUGGCAGGCUUGAGUCUUGUAGAGGGGGGUAGAAUUCCAGGUGUAGCGGUGAAAUGCGUAGAGAUCUGGAGGAAUACCGGUGGCGAAGGCGGCCCCCUGGACAAAGACUGACGCUCAGGUGCGAAAGCGUGGGAAGCAAACAGGAUUAGAUACCCUGGUAGUCCACGCUGUAAACGAUGUCGACUUGGAGGUUGUUCCCUUGAGGAGUGGCUUCCGGAGCUAACGCGUU
rnacentral:rRNA from 1 species